CUCGCUCUCCUUCUUGGCCGAUCUCUCCCUCUCCCCUCUUUCUCUCUCACACACCUCUCUCCCUUCUAUUGCCGCCUCACCGCAGCUGCCGCCUCAUCGUCGAUGCAGCCGCUGCACCGUCACCGUCCUCACACCAUCUCACUGCUCGUUGUCGCCUGCCAUCUCAAGCUGCAGUCCUCACGCUGCCAUGUCAUGCCGUGAGCAUUGAGCCAUCACCGACCGCCCUCUUAUUCUUGGCCCAGUUGCUUGAUGGUCACACGAGGGAUUCUGCCAUCUAGGGAUUUUGGGGGAUGAUGCUGCCACAAGAGAUGUCAAGGGGUGAUGCUCGAUAGAUUUCGGAUACCGUUCGUGAUGAUGGUUACGGAACGAUGCCCGAAAGGAUGCCCCAUGGAGGUUCAGAUGCCGUGCUCGAUGGGGCCAAUAGAUAUGGAUCCGCUGCCCGCAUGUUUCAUGCGAUUUGGAGUGCCCAUGAGUAUGAAGGCCAUUGUCAUGGCCAUAUUUAGGGAGGAUACCGUAUUCCGAAGGAUCACUACUACUAUUUGGGUGGAGGAGCACUAUAACGAUCUCAUCCCUCACGUGUGGUUUAAAGGGGAUCUCUUCAGGCCCCUCUGUGGGUUUCGUGGACCGCUCGGACUACAUGAGGACGAUGGCCCAUCCUAUGGUCCAAUAGAUGAUGCCUAGGUAGCUGGUCCUCAUAGGAGAGCCACUUUUGGUUAGAUAGGCUCACCCUGAAGCUUGUGAACCCUUCCCCCUACUAUCUUUUGAUUGUGUAUUAGAUUGGCUGAAGAACGGACUUGUAUAUUAAAUGAUCCAAUUUAAGGAAGUAGAUAAAUAAAAUAUAUAUUUAUUUAUGUGUUUU